UUGCUAAACAAUUCUAUAUAUAUAGAAGGUUGAGAUAAACUCGUUAGCUAUCUUAUGUCGGGCCGGUGGUUUCACACUUUUUUUCAUCAUGAUCCUUUACGAAACACAGCCAAAAAUGGCAUAUUUGGUUUCCUAUUGAAUGGUCCUGAUUUUAAUUUAAUUCGCUUGUACUGCGCGUUUAAUCAGUUGAAUGCUUCAACGAAGAAUGCUUGAUGUUUUUUCCUUGCCCUACAUCUCCCGUCUUAAAUCGGGGAAGGAUUUUUUCUUCUUCAAACGAUAACUUUUCAUACCUUCUAAAGUAUUCUCAAUUUUUGGCUUUAAGUACCAAUGUUAAGAAUCGUUUGCCACAUGUGGGUGUAAUUCAUUCAUGUAUCGGUAACAGGUCCCCGACAUGCUCAUCUAGCUAACAGAAGGCUAUUCAAUGGUAUUUCAAAACUAUUGUAUCACCACGCGUAUAAACAUGUAUCAGUUAUCGUUAGAAAACAGUCCUUACAAAACAUUCAGGCUACAUCUAAGAUCUUAGUAAAGCAAAUCUUUUCAACAGAAGGAAGUAAUUGACUGAAAAUGCUGAUAUUUAACACUUCACAAUUUCAGAUGAAAGUCAAGUCAUUAAAACUAAAGAUGUAUCAGAAGAAAAAAACAGAAAACUCAGCAAAGAAAGUAAACCUAUUGCCGUUAUAUCACCAGUCAACGGGGCGGGUGUAAACAGCAAUCAUUAUGGAGGACUGCAACUGACACGAGAACGAUUUCAGUUUUCUGGAGACAGUGAAAAUACGCCAAAAGAGAAUACAAAUAACAAAGGACCGACCAAUAACGGGACACAUGCUGAGAAUCAGAUUGUUCAUGUGAAGGAACUAGCCGAGUCUGAGGAAAAAGGUGCUGCAAAUACUGAAAUCGACUUGUUGAAAUUAUUUAGAGAUUUAGCAACACUACUACCAAUAGAUGAAUGUUCCUGGACGUUUUUUGCGAUUGACCUAUUACAUAUUAGCCGUGAACAAUGUGGUUUACCGAAAGAUGUCGAUAAUGAGAAGAACAAAAUAAAACACAACAACAAACGGCUAGACCUUGCUUAUUUCGAAUUGCUGAAUACCUGGUACAGUAUGAUGGGUAGUGAAGCGAGUUAAGAACAUAUUGAAAGUACAUUAAAGAGGUUGGACAACAAGAUCAUUAUGGAAGAAUUCGAACGAAU